rnacentral:lncRNA from 1 species
AAUGGUGCUGGGAAAACUGGACAUGCAUAUGCAGAACAAUAAAGCUAAACCCUUUCUCAAACCAUAUACACAAAUAAACCUCAAAUGGAUUAACCCCAAAUUAUAAAACCAACAGAAAAAAAAAAAAAAAAGAAAAAACACAGGAAAAUGCUUCAGGACAUUGGUGUAGGCAAAUGUUUUAUGACUAAGACUUAAAAGAACGUAACAAAAACAAACAUAGACAAAUGGAGCUAUAUUAAACUAAAAAGCUUCUGUACAGCAAAGAAACUACUCAACAGAAUUAAGAGACAACAUGUAGAAUGGGUUGGAAGAAUUAAUAUUGUUAAUUAGUAAUUAAUGAUGAACUAGCUAAAAAAGGAGACAAUAAAACAAUUUCAUGUGCUGGCCGGGCACGGUGGCUUACGCCUGUAAUCCCAGCAUUUUGGGAGGCUGAGGUGGGCAGAUCUGUACAAGAUCAGGAGCUCAAGACCAACCUGGCCAGCAUGGUGAAACCCCGUCUCUACCAAAAAAAAAAAGAAAAACAAUCCCAUUUGCAAUAUCUAAAAAAAUAGUUAAUUUGCAAACUAUUAAUCUAACUAGGGACUAAUAUCCAAAAUAUACAAGAAAUUCAAACUCAACAGCAAAACAUAUUAAAUAAUCCCAUUAAAAAGUGGGCAAAGGAUUUGACUAGACAUUUCUCAAAAAAAAAAUCCAUACAAAUGGCCAAUAGGUA